rnacentral:rRNA from 1 species
UCAUGGCUCAGAGUGAACGCUGGCGGUAGGCCUAACACAUGCAAGUCGAACGGCAGCACAGAGGAGCUUGCUCCUUGGGUGGCGAGUGGCGGACGGGUGAGGAAUACAUCGGAAUCUACUCUGUCGUGGGGGAUAACGUAGGGAAACUUACGCUAAUACCGCAUACGACCUACGGGUGAAAGCAGGGGAUCUUCGGACCUUGCGCGAUUGAAUGAGCCGAUGUCGGAUUAGCUAGUUGGCGGGGUAAAGGCCCACCAAGGCGACGAUCCGUAGCUGGUCUGAGAGGAUGAUCAGCCACACUGGAACUGAGACACGGUCCAGACUCCUACGGGAGGCAGCAGUGGGGAAUAUUGGACAAUGGGCGCAAGCCUGAUCCAGCCAUACCGCGUGGGUGAAGAAGGCCUUCGGGUUGUAAAGCCCUUUUGUUGGGAAAGAAAUCCAGCCGGCUAAUACCUGGUUGGGAUGACGGUAC